rnacentral:rRNA from 1 species
GGUCAAGCGGUUAAGGCACACGGUGGAUGCCUUGGCAUCAAGGGCCGAAGAAGGGCGUGGCAAGACUGCGAAAAGCCUCGG